AGAUUGAACGCUGGCGGCAUGCCUUACACAUGCAAGUCGAACGGCAGCACGGGAGCAAUCCUGGUGGCGAGUGGCGAACGGGUGAGUAAUAUAUCGGAACGUGCCCAGUCGUGGGGGAUAACGCAGCGAAAGCUGUGCUAAUACCGCAUACGAUCUAUGGAUGAAAGCGGGGGAUCGCAAGACCUCGCGCGAUUGGAGCGGCCGAUAUCAGAUUAGCUAGUUGGUGGGUAAAAGCCUACCAAGGCGACGAUCUGUAGCUGGUCUGAGAGGAUGAUCAGCCACACUGGGACUGAGACACGG
rnacentral:rRNA from 1 species